rnacentral:lncRNA from 1 species
UUGAAUACAUAAAAUUUGCCCAAAGUCCUUCUCUCAUUUUCUCUCUGACAAACCUAAUACAGAUCCGUAUUGUUGUCCAAUCUCUAAGUUUAACAUGGUAUCAGAGCCAUGAAAUCAUCAAUCCUUCACCUCGUAAUCUUAGCUGUGUUGAUUUUGGAGAUCUUAUUCCGUUAGCUACUGAAUUUUUCUUCAUAUGGUCUUAUCGGACAAAGUUUUUUAAUUUGUUGUCUCUUUUACUGGUUUCGUUGCUCGUCUACAUUGG